ensembl:lncRNA
CGACACCCUUGGCCUGUCCCAUUUUUGCCUCCCUCCCACUGUUAAAAUGACAGUCAUGUCCAUCUUCUGAUUGAUAAAGACUGCAUCCACCAAUUGCUGUCUGAGCAUUUCAAGAUUGGAAGCAUCCUGGCCACUUGGAAUGUUAGGCUCCUCAUUUUGGAUCUGUAAUUACCCAUUUUGUCUUUCAAACUGUUUAUCCACCCACCCAGAAGGCGAACCUGGUUCUUGAAGGUUUCUUGAAGGGUGGAAGACAUCCAUUUUUUCCACAUGAUUUGGACAAUAUGUCAUUCUCUUCCACAGUCUCAACACCUCUUUCACAACUGACUCAUCUACAUGUCCAAAGUGUUUCUUAAGAACUGCCUUCACAUUAUUUUGCAAAAGUGGCUGGGACAACUGAACUAUUUGGCCUAGAAAUGGACACUGAACUUUUUGGUGGUCUUUGAGAUGUCUACGUCGAAGGUGGGCAAAAUAUUCAGUAAAUGACAG